rnacentral:rRNA from 1 species
UACGGAGGAUCCGAGCGUUAUCCGGAUUUAUUGGGUUUAAAGGGAGCGUAGGUGGACUGGUAAGUCAGUUGUGAAAGUUUGCGGCUCAACCGUAAAAUUGCAGUUGAUACUGUCAGUCUUGAGUACAGUAGAGGUGGGCGGAAUUCGUGGUGUAGCGGUGAAAUGCUUAGAUAUCACGAAGAACUCCGAUUGCGAAGGCAGCUCACUGGACUGCAACUGACACUGAUGCUCGAAGGCCAGGGGAGCGAAAGGG